CACGUAGGGCGCAAGCGUUUGUCCGGAAUUAUUGGGCGUAAAGAGCUCGUAGGCGGUCUGUUGCGUCCGCUGUGAAACUCGGGGCUUAACCCCGAGCCUGCAGUGGAUACGGGCAGACUAGAGGUAGGUAGGGGAGAAUGGAAUUCCCGGUGUAGCGGUGAAAUGCGCAGAUAUCGGAGGAACACCGGUGGCGAAGGCGGUUCUCUGGGCCUUACCUGACGCUGAGGAGCGAAAGCGUGGGGAGCGAACAGGAUUAGACUACCCCGAG
rnacentral:rRNA from 1 species